GACAGAGGAUGCAAGCGUUAUCCGGAAUGAUUGGGCGUAAAGCGUCUGUAGGUGGCUUUUUAAGUCCGCCGUCAAAUCCCAGGGCUCAACCCUGGACAGGCGGUGGAAACUACCAAGCUGGAGUACGGUAGGGGCAGAGGGAAUUUCCGGUGGAGCGGUGAAAUGCGCAGAUAUCAGGAGGAACACCGGUGGCGAAGGCGGUUCUCUGGGCAUGAUCUGACGCUGAGGAGCGAAAGUGUGGGGAGCGAACAGG
rnacentral:rRNA from 1 species